GAAUAUUGGUCAAUGGGCGCAAGCCUGAACCAGCCAUGCCGCGUGCAGGAUGACUGCCCUAUGGGUUGUAAACUGCUUUUGUACGGGAAGAAACCCCUCUACGUGUAGAGGCUUGACGGUACCGUAAGAAUAAGGAUCGGCUAACUCCGUGCCAGCAGCCGCGGUAAUACGGAGGAUCCAAGCGUUAUCCGGAAUCAUUGGGUUUAAAGGGUCCGUAGGCGGCCUUAUAAGUCAGUGGUGAAAUCCGGCAGCUUAACUGUCGAACUGCCAUUGAUACUGUAGGGCUUGAAUUACUGUGAAGUAACUAGAAUAUGUAGUGUAGCGGUGAAAUGCUUAGAUAUUACAUGGAAUACCAAUUGCGAAGGCAGGUUACUAACAUUAUAUUGACGCUGAUGGACGAAAGCGUGGGUAGCGAACAG
rnacentral:rRNA from 1 species